AUUCUUGUGCUAGGGCAAAACCACGAAAGUGAGGUUCAUACUGAUUCUGGUUUAUUGCUGGUUGAAAACUACUACCAAUGCCCGUCUGCAGUGCUCUCCGGAGCGCGGCAGCAAUUUUUGGAAGGUCCAGAAGGGC
rfam:Rhizopus microsporus genome assembly, contig: SCAF172